rnacentral:rRNA from 1 species
UACAGAGGGGGCAAGCGUUGUUCGGAAUUACUGGGCGUAAAGGGCGCGUAGGCGGCCUGCUAAGUCGAACGUGAAAUCCCCGGGCUUAACCCGGGAACUGCGUCCGAUACUGGCUGGCUUGAAUCCGGGAGAGGGAUGUGGAAUUCCAGGUGUAGCGGUGAAAUGCGUAGAUAUCUGGAGGAACACCGGUGGCGAAGGCGGCAUCCUGGACCGGUAUUGACGCUGAGGCGCGAAAGCUAGGGGAGCAAACGGG